CUUUUUCUGCGUUAUCCUCCCUCUCUUAUUUUUCUUUCUACUUAUCCUUGAACUCAUUGGCUAGUAAAUAGUUAUUAGCCACGACAGGAGGUAAUGUAUCGAACUGAAUAGUAAGGGGCUGAUCUGGAUCUUCUCCAUCUUUUCUGUCUCGCUCAAACUUCGAUCUCUCAGAAGAAGUCUCUGGCAAUUCUUUCAUCGAUUCACCUGUGCCAG
rnacentral:lncRNA from 1 species